rnacentral:tRNA from 1 species
ACCAAAUAACUACACCUAGCUAAAAAGGAUUCGAACCUCCGACAAAAAAUCCAAAAUUUUCCGUAUUCCCUACUAUACUAUUAACUA